rnacentral:rRNA from 1 species
GCUUAUCACCAUUCCAGAUUGAAUAUACCCGAUCUCGUCUGAUCUCAGAAGUCAAGCAAUCUCGGGCUUGGUUAGUACUU